AGGCCAGCCCCUGAAACAUCUUGGGCAAUGGAGGGUUAACUUCUCAAAGUUUAAUAGGCAAGACCAGCAACCACGCAACAAGAAGAUAUUCUAUAAAUGAUGAUUCAAUGAAUGCCAAGCCCUGUUCUAGGCACUGAAGACCAAAAGAAAUAAAAGACAUCAUUCCUGCUCUGACUUCAACUAACCAACUAAAGAACUGUUCCCCAGAGCAUUGUUCCUGAGAAGGAAAAGAGUCCAAACACCCACCCACACCUGCUUUGUGCCAAGAAUCCACAGUUGGAUUGCAAGGACAGUGCGUUCAAGACCCAGCUGUUGAGAGUAGAAAAGCAGAAGAAAGGACCCGAGGUCAGCAAGUGCCCUCCCUACAAUGGGGCAGGUCUGCCAGGGAGAAUCGGCUACAGCAGCUGAAAAACCAAAACUUCAUCUACUUACUGAAAGUGAGAUUGACAAGUAUCUCUAUGCCAUGCGGCUCUCCGAUGAAACUCUCAUAGAUAUCAUGACUCGCUUCAGGAAGGAGAUGAAGAAUGGCCUCUCCCGGGAUUUUAAUCCAACAGCCACAGUCAAGAUGUUGCCAACAUUCGUAAGGUCCAUUCCUGAUGGCUCUG
rnacentral:sRNA from 1 species